GACGAACGCUGGCGGCGUGCUUAACACAUGCAAGUCGAACGAUGAACCCGGAGCUUGCUCUGGGGGAUUAGUGGCGAACGGGUGAGUAACACGUGAGUAACCUGCCCUGGACUCUGGGAUAAGCGUUGGAAACGACGUCUAAUACCGGAUAGGACCUUGGAUCGCAUGAUCUGGGGUGGAAAGUUUUUUCGGUCUGGGAUGGACUCGCGGCCUAUCAGCUUGUUGGUGAGGUAAUGGCUCACCAAGGCGUCGACGGGUAGCCGGCCUGAGAGGGUGACCGGCCACACUGGGACUGAGACACGGCCCAGACUCCUGCGGGAGGCAGCAGUGGGGAAUAUUGCACAAUGGGCGAAAGCCUGAUGCAGCAACGCCGCGUGCGGGAUGACGGCCUUCGGGUUGUAAACCGCUUUUAGUAGGGAAGAAGGGCUUCGGCUUGACGGUACCUGCAGAAAAAGAACCGGCUAACUACGUG
rnacentral:rRNA from 1 species